CUCACCAGGUCAGGACACGGUAAGGAUUGACGGACUGAAGGCUCUUUCUCGAUUCCGUGGAAAGUGGUGCAUGGCCGUUUUGGUUGGUGGAUCGAUCCGUCUGGUUAAUUCCGUUAACGAACGAGACCUCGGCACUCCGAAUAGCGCGGCGGACGUCGCGGCCUCCGGGCCGUCUUCCGCACGAGCUUCUUAGAGGGACCGUCCCCCCGCCGGGGAAGGAGGUGCGAGGCAACGACAGGUCUGUGAUGCCCUUAGAUGUUCUGGGCCGCACGCGCAUUACACUGACGCGUCCAACGGGUGACUCCCGACCCGAAGGGGCCGGGGAAUCCGCAAGGCGCGUCGUGAUGGGGAUUGAACGUUGCAAUUGUUGUUCACGAACGAGGAAUUCCUAGUAGGCGCGGGUCAUCAACCCGCGCCGAUUACGUCCCUGCCCUUUGUACACACCGCCC
rnacentral:rRNA from 1 species